rnacentral:rRNA from 1 species
AGUGAACGCUGGCGGUAGGCCUAACACAUGCAAGUCGAACGGCAGCACAGUAAGAGCUUGCUCUUACGGGUGGCGAGUGUCGGACGGGUGAGGAAUACAUCGGAAUCUACUUUUUCGUGGGGGAUAACGUAGGGAAACUUACGCUAAUACCGCAUACGACCUACGGGUGAAAGCAGGGGAUCUUCGGACCUUGCGCGAUUGAAUGAGCCGAUGUCGGAUUAGCUAGUUGGCGGGGUAAAGGCCCACCAAGGCGACGAUCCGUAGCUGGUCUGAGAGGAUGAUCAGCCACACUGGAACUGAGACACGGUCCAGACUCCUACGGGAGGCAGCAGUGGGGAAUAUUGGACAAUGGGCGCAAGCCUGAUCCAGCCAUACCGCGUGGGUGAAGAAGGCCUUCGGGUUGUAAAGCCCUUUUGUUGGGAAAGAAAAGCAGCAGGUUAAUACCCCGCUGUCCUGACGGUACCCAAAGAAUAAGCACCGGCUAACUUCGUG